rnacentral:rRNA from 1 species
UACAGAGGGUGCAAGCGUUAAUCGGAAUUACUGGGCGUAAAGCGUGCGUAGACGGUUAUGUAAGUCAGGUGUGAAAGCCCCGGGCUCAACCUGGGAAUUGCAUUUGAGACUGCAUAGCUAGGGUGCGGAAGAGGGAAGCGGAAUUUCCGGUGUAGCGGUGAAGUGCGUAGAUAUCGGAAGGAACAUCAGUGGCGAAAGCGGCUUCCUGGUCCAGCACCGACGUUCAGGCACGAAAGCGUGGGGAGCAAACAGG